ensembl:snRNA Gm24536 U6 spliceosomal RNA
GUGCUCCCUUCGGCAGCACAUACACUAAAUUUGGAACGAUACAGAGAAGAUUAGCAUGGCCCCUACGCAAGGAUGACACGCAAAUUCAUGAAGUUUUCCACAUUUUU